CCCGGAGCCGCCGCCGAAGGUUGCCCCUCUGAAGAAAUUCUGUUUUUACCAGAAUUUUUUUUUAUCCUGGGCUGCACUUGAAUCUCAAUAAUGAAGAAAAGCAGAAGUGUCAUGACAGUGACUGCAGAUGAGAACUCCCUGGAUUACCUGGAAUGCGGGCUCAGCAAAUCCUUCAGCACCUCCAGCCACGCCCUGGCCAUUGACCU